AACUCCAAGAGUGUAUCUUAAUGUUGCUGCAGUUAAAAAGCUCGUAGUUGAACCUCUGGCUAUUGAAAUUCCCAAUCGGGAACUUCGAUAGUCAUCCGCUAGGAGAAACAGUAUUUCCGUCAAAAGUUUUACUGUAGAACCAGCAUUUUACUUUGAAGAAAUUAGAGUGUUCCUAGCAGGCUACGCUUGCAUAAAUUAGCAUGGAAUAAUGGAAAAGGACUUUGUCUGUUUUUUUGGUUGACAGAUGAGUAAUGAUUAACAGGGACAGUCGGGGGCAUUCGUACUGAGUGGCUAGAGGUGAAAUUCUUAGAUUCGCUCAAGACGAACUAAUGCGAAAGCAUUUGCCAAGGAUGUUUUCAUUA
rnacentral:rRNA from 1 species